rnacentral:rRNA from 1 species
UGAGGAAUAUUGGUCAAUGGACGGAAGUCUGAACCAGCCAAGUAGCGUGCAGGAAGACGGCCCUAUGGGUUGUAAACUGCUUUUGUAUGGGGAUAAAGUCAAUCACGUGUGAUUGUUUGCAGGUACCAUACGAAUAAGGACCGGCUAAUUCCGUGCCAGCAGCCGCGGUAAUACGGAAGGUUCGGGCGUUAUCCGGAUUUAUUGGGUUUAAAGGGAGCGUAGGCCGGAGAUUAAGUGUGUUGUGAAAUGUAGACGCUCAACGUCUGACUUGCAGCGCAUACUGGUUUCCUUGAGUACGCACAACGUUGGCGGAAUUCGUCGUGUAGCGGUGAAGUGCUUAGAUAUGACGAAGAACUCCGAUUGCGAAGGCAGCUGACGGGAGCGCAACUGACGCUGAAGCUCGAAGGUGCGGGUAUCGAACAGGAUUAGAUACCCUGGUAGUCCGCACAGUAAACGAUGGAUGCCCGCUGUUGGUACCUAGUAUCAGCGGCUAAGCGAAAGCAUUAAGCAUCCCACCUGGGGAGUACGCCGGCAACGGUG